CCUACGGGUGGCAGCAGUGAGGAAUAUUGGUCAAUGGGCGCAAGCCUGAACCAGCCAAGUAGCGUGAAGGAUGACUGCCCUAUGGGUUGUAAACCUCUUUUAUAAGGGAGUAAAGUGAGGCACGUGUGCCGUUUUGUAUGUACUUUAUAAAUAAGGAUCGGCUAACUCCGUGCCAGCAGCCGCGGUAAUACGGAGGAUCCGAGCGUUAUCCGGAUUUAUUGGGGUUAAAGGGGGUGUAGAUGGGGUGUUAAGGCAGUUGUGAAAGUUUGCGGGUCAACCGUAAAAUUGCAAUUGAUACUGGCAGUCUUGAGUACAGUAGAGGUAGGCGGAAUUCGUGGUGUAGCGGUGAAAUGCUUAGAUAUCACGAAGAACUCCGAUUGCGAAGGCAGCUUACUAAACUGCCACUGACAUUGAUGCUCGAAAGUGUGGGUAUCAAACAGGAUUAGAUACCCUGGUAGUC
rnacentral:rRNA from 1 species